GAUGAAGAACGCAGCGAAAUGCGAUAAGUAAUGUGAAUUGCAGAAUUCAGUGAAUCAUCGAAUCUUUGAACGCACAUUGCGCCCGCCAGUAUUCUGGCGGGCAUGCCUGUUCGAGCGUCAUUUCAACCCUCAAGACCCCUUCGGGGGACUUGGUGUUGGGGACCGGCACAGGGGCCUGCCUGCUUGUCUUGCAGCGCCCUCGCCGCCCCCGAAAUGAAUUGGCGGCCUCGUCGCGGCCUCCCCUGCGUAGUAGCACAACCUCGCAACGGGAACGUGACGGCGGCCACUGCCGUAAAACAACCCCAAUUUUAUUAGAGUUGACCUCGAAUCAGGUAGGAAUACCCGCUGAACUUAAGCAUAUCAAUACGGAGGA
rnacentral:misc_RNA from 1 species